UACGUAGGUGGCGAGCGUUGUCCGGAUUUAUUGGGCGUAAAGCGCGCGCAGGUGGUGCGGUAAGUCCUGUGUGAAAUCUCCCGGCUCAACUGGGAGGGUGCGGAGGAGACUGCCGGACUGGAGGCACUCAGAGGCCGGUGGAAUUCCCGGUGUAGUGGUGAAAUGCGUAGAGAUCGGGAGGAACACCAGAGGCGAAGGCGGCGACCUGGACAGGUACUGACACUCAACUACGAAAGCGUGGGGAGCAAACAGG
rnacentral:rRNA from 1 species